CCAGUUCAUGCAACAUAUAAAAGCAGGAACUUCAACCUCCAGCUCCAAAACUGGGAGCUACUGUCCUAAUGAGGAACCAACUUGUUCUGAGGAGCAUCUGAAUAAAGAGGGAACAGUUUUCUGUCUCAGUAAUGGGGAAGGAGCCUUGAGGUCAUACCAACCAGGAACUCUGGGAUGGAGGAGUCUGCAUCCUGCCUCGUGUUGCCAUAGCCUUGGGGAGGAGAUUCUAAGGCAGAGCCUUGGACAACUGUUGUGUUUCAUUGCAUUUGCUAUUCACUUCCUCAAGUUUCCUAUAAAAGACUUUAUAUACCGUUUCUUCAGAUUGUACUCAGAGCUCCCUGAUGAAGACAGAGC
ensembl:lncRNA